rnacentral:pre_miRNA from 1 species
UUUCUACUCCCUCCGUCCGAAAAUACUUGUCAUCAAAAUGGAUAUAAAGAGAUGUAUCUAAAACUAAAAUACUUCUAGAUACAUUUCCUUUUAUCCAUUUUGAUGACAAGUAUUUCCAGACAGAGGGAGUAUUUG